rnacentral:rRNA from 1 species
UACGGAGGGAGCUAGCGUUGUUCGGAUCUACUGGGCGUAAAGCGCACGUAGGCGGCGCCGUAAGUCAGGGGUGAAAUCCCGGAGCUCAACUCCGGAACUGCCCUUGAAACUGCAGUGCUAGAAUUCUGGAGAGGCGAGUGGAAUUCCGAGUGUAGAGGUGAAAUUCGUAGAUAUUCGGAAGAACACCAGUGGCGAAGGCGGCUCACUGGACUGGUAUUGACACUGAGGUGCGAAAGCGUGGGGAGCAAACAGG